GAAAUGCGAUAAGUAAUGCGAAUUGCAGAAUUCAGUGAAUCAUCAAAUCUUCGAACGCAAAUUGCACUCUUGUGUUGAACGAGAGUAUGCCUCUUUCAGUAUCUGUUCUCUAUCACUUCGUCUGCGUAUGUGUAUGUAUAUACAUAUAUGACAGACGAGAGAGUGAGCGAUCUUUAUAUUGUGAUCAUCAUCAUAUAUAUAGAGUCGCUUGAAGAGCAGUCAGAGAUGAUCAUAUCAUAUCAUAUCAUAUGAACAAGGUGGAUCUAUGGCUUCAUAAGGUGUGAAGUAGUACUCCAGAGUGAAGCCAGGGUUGUGAGCCUUGAGAUAUGAACAACUCUAAUAAAAAUCCAAAUCCAGAUCUGAAAUGAGGUAAGAGGACCCGCUGAAUUUAA
rnacentral:misc_RNA from 1 species